rnacentral:misc_RNA from 1 species
GAAAUGCGAUAAGUAGUGUGAAUUGCAGAAUUCAGUGAAUCAUCGAAUCUUUGAACGCACAUUGCGCCCCUCGGUAUUCCGUGGGGCAUGCCUGUUCGAGCGUCAUCUACACCCUCAAGCUCUGCUUGGUGUUGGGCGUCUGUCCCGCCUCCUUCGCGCGCGGACUCGCCCCAAAUCCAUUGGCGUCGGCCCUUGCCUCCCUCUCGCGCAGCACAUUGCGCUUCUCGAGGCGCGGCGGACCGCGUCCAGCAAGCAACCGUCACACCGUCUUUGACCUCGGAUCAGGUAGGGAUACCCGCUGAACUUAAGC